AGAACGAACGCUGGCGGCAUGCCUAAUACAUGCAAGUCGAACGAGAUCUUCGGGUCUAGUGGCGCACGGGUGCGUAACGCGUGGGAAUCUACCCUUGGGUUCGGAAUAACAGUUGGAAACGACUGCUAAUACCGGAUGAUGACGAAAGUCCAAAGAUUUAUCGCCAAGGGAUGAGCCCGCGUAGGAUUAGCUAGUUGGUGAGGUAAGGCUCACCAAGGCACGAUCCUUAGCUGGUCUGAGAGGAUGAUCAGCCACACUGGGACUGAGACACGGCCCAGACUCCUACGGGAGGCAGCAGUAGGGAAUAUUGGACAAUGGGGGCAAACGCGAGACUCAGACAGUCGCGCG
rnacentral:rRNA from 1 species